rnacentral:rRNA from 1 species
UGCGUACGCCGCCUAUUAACUAAGGGGUGAAAGACGGUGGCUCAACCUUCGCAGUGCCCUUGAUACUGAUGGGCUUGAUUACCCUCGAGGUAGGCGGAAUGUGACAAGUAGCGGUGAAAUGCAAGAUAUGUCACAGAACACCAAUUGCGAAGGCAGCUUACUAAGGUGUUAAUGACGCUGAUGCACGAAAGCGUGGGGAUCAAACAGGAUUAGAUACCCUGGUAGUCCACGCCCUAAACGAUGAAUACUCGAUGUUAGCGAUUUACAGUUAGCGUCAAAGCGAAAGCGUUAAGUAUUCCACCUGGGGAGUACGCCCGCAAGGGUGAAAACUCAAAGGAAUUGACGGGGGCCCGCACAUCUGAGGAGCAUGUGGUUUAAUUCGAUGAUACCCAAGGAACCUU